UUCCUGGUGGUCCAGUAGCUAAGAUUCCUUGCUCCUAAUGCAGGAGGUCCAGGUUCGAUCCCUGGUCAGGAAC
rnacentral:tRNA from 1 species